rnacentral:lncRNA from 1 species
GUUUAUAUGAUUUGCACUCUCUUCAAUUUAGAUAAAUUGCGUUGGGUGUUGGGAAAUCUGGAAAAAUGGACAAUUUUUGUUACAUUCCUGAAGACAUGAUUAUCAAUAUCUUGUUAAGGUUGCCCGUGAAAACUCUGUUGCGAUUCAAGUGCGUUUGCAAAUCAUGGUGUUCCAUCAUUGCAAGAUGCGAUUUUAUUUAUGAGCAUUUGGGUAUGGCACAUGCAGACAGCAGAAAAGCUCGUCUUCUUGUCAUGCAUCGUGCGUCAGAAACCAGCGAAUUCUUCUUGUUCCCUAAUGACCAACUAACGACACCAACACAUUUAACAAUUCAUACAAAGCUUCCUCCUUAUUUAAGAAUUAUGGGACCCUGCCAUGGUCUGUUAUGUCUUUUAAAUGACAACAAUUCAGAGUUAUGCCUGUGGAAUCUAGCAACUAGAGAAAUCAAAUAUAUACCAGAAUCCCCUAUUCCUAUUCCAAGCUAAGUUGAUGAGUACGAAUUUGCUGAAUUCGGGUUUGGUUUUGACUGUAAGACUAGAGAUUAUAAGGUGGUCAAAUUGCUAAAGAAACAUUGUGAAGAUCGAGACAAUGACUAUCAUGUUGAAGUAUAUACCUUGAGUACAAAUUCUUGGAGAAAAAUUGACGUCAUCGUGCCAUCUCGUCUAUUUCCGUAUAUUGUGAUGUAUUCUUAUACGGCCUACAUGAAUGGAACUUUUUAUUGGUGGGCGGAGAUAGUAAUUGUUUGUUUUGACAUGAGCAACGAGCAAUUUGGGAUGAUUCACUUGCCUAAAGUAGAUUUUCCAGUUAACGAAGAAGCGAAAUACAACUGUUUCACUGAAUAUAAUGGGUCGUUGGCAGUGAUUUUUUGUUUUCGAAAUGAAAAUGACACAUGGUCUGAACUGUGGUCAAUGAAUGGACAUGGCACGACAGUUACUUGGACGAAGCAAUUUUCGAUUGGAUGGUUAGAAGGAUGGUGGAGGCCAAUAGGGAGUUAUAAGAAUAAUAGAAUUCUUUUUGUAAAUGGAUACCUUGGGGGGGACGAUACGAUAAUCCCUUAUGAUCACGAAGCAAGAAGUUUGCAAAUUGCUCUUCCAAUUAACCGAGUUAUUGGACAGUACCUGUUCAGAAACAGUUGUUGCAUAUUACACUGAAAGCUUAGUUUCUCUGGGAGAUGGAUGAAAAUGAAUCUACGCAAGCUCCAAACUUCGAAGGUAGUGUAAUUUCAAUAUUAUCAACUAUUUAUAGUGGUCAAUAAUCAUCGGUAUGUUUUGCUACUUUUCCAAGCUUAAUUAUUUUGGACAAAGAUUUUAAUUUCAAUAUCAGUAAGUACAAAGUCUGUUUCAUUAUGACAGAGUUUGUAGCUGUGUGUAUUCUGUCAGGCCUUAUGUUGCAGUAGCAAGGUCCAUUUUCAAAAAUUAAUUGCAACUUCAAUAAAGCUAAGGACAAUUCUAGUUGAACAGGGUGAGGGACAGGGUUUUUGAAAAAAAUAGAAUGAGCCGGAAGACUGUGUUUGGCUUUUCUUUUUUUUUUUUUUUUUUAUCAAACUCUCCAAUUGUGUAUUGACAGCUGUUUGGCCUUUUUUUUUUAGUUGGUUUUGAAUCUGUUUCUAUAGCAUUACUCUUGUUGACAAGUUCCUUUACUAAAUUGAUCCAUUGGGUAUAAUAGUUUGCC